rnacentral:rRNA from 1 species
UACGGAGGAUCCGAGCGUUAUCCGGAUUUAUUGGGUUUAAAGGGAGCGUAGGUGGAUUGUUAAGUCAGUUGUGAAAGUUUGCGGCUCAGCCGUAAAAUUGCAGUUGAAACUGGCAGUCUUGAGUACAGUAGAGGUGGGCGGAAUUCGUGGUGUAGCGGUGAAAUGCUUAGAUAUCACGAAGAACUCCGAUUGCGAAGGCAGCUCACUGGACUGCAACUGACACUGAGGCUCGAAAGUGUGGGUAUCAAACAGG